AUACGUAGGGUGCAAGCGUUAAUCGGAAUUACUGGGCGUAAAGCGUGCGCAGGCGGUCUUGCAAGACAGAUGUGAAAUCCCCGGGCUCAACCUGGGAACUGCAUUUGUGACUGCAAGGCUAGAGUACGGCAGAGGGGGAUGGAAUUCCGCGUGUAGCAGUGAAAUGCGUAGAUAUGCGGAGGAACACCGAUGGCGAAGGCAAUCCCCUGGGCCUGUACUGACGCUCAUGCACGAAAGCGUGGGGAGC
rnacentral:rRNA from 1 species